CUUGUAACCUUUCCCACGUGCUGUCACUUUGGCGCGCGUUCAAUAUCGCCGCAUACUUUAGCAUAACUCCGGUUCUAACCUUACCUCCAACUCUAACCUCCAAUUGGAAUCUGUCAGAAUUAUAAUUGCAUUCAUAUUCUACUACUCACGUGAAUAAUAUUGCGAAAAGUUUUAUACGGCAAAGUUGUCCUCUUGUACAAAAUUUAUUUGUGUUCUAUAUUAUGUACAUAACAUUUAUAUAAGAUAGAAAAUGUAUGAGAGACUGUAUCCUCAAAUGCAGUAAAAAUUAUUUUUUAUUUUUUUACAGGAAAUAUCUUUUGUCAUGUAAUAUUUGAAGAUCCAGUUUUUCGUUCAUUUACUACGAUAUCAUUUGUGACAUUUUAAAAUAGUUUAGUGACCUUGACAAUGCUGACGCGAACAUGAUGUCACUAGUAGUAACAUGUAGGUGUCACAUGGUUAUGAAACCUUAGAUAUUGAAUGGAUAUAUGAAGUCAUUGUCUUAUAGUCUUGAAUAUAGUUUUGUACGAAUAUCAGUUGAAUGAGUUUGCUUUGCGAUCAGAAUAUAUAUCUUCUACAGGCAUAAAAAAUAAUGUAGAAUGUGUUAAAGUGCAGUCUCAUCGACAUAGGCUUAUUUAAAGUUUGAACUCAUCAAAUUUAUUGUUGAGAAACAUUGUUUCUGAUGACGUAAUUCGUUUUGUAAUUCGACUGUAACCACACUAAUUGACAGUUAACAAGGAGAAAUCAUACUUUAGUUAUAUGGAGAAUCUUCCUGUUUAUGACGGAAAAUUACACUAUGUACCAGCCGCGUUAUAGUAAAGAAUAUUCUAUCACAUUCUUUAGUACGUAACCACGUGAACGGUCUGAACUGCGCAAGGUCACUCGACUUUACUGGUCGAGAUGCGCAGACGGGCCGAUGGUAACAUUGCAAGAACUUAUCGACAGCUUUUUCCAAUUAAUAAAUAAACAAUGAGCUUUAGUUUUCGCUACUUUUCUAUAUCAAAUAUGUAUGUCUUGUCCUUGCUCUUAUUCUUCUAAUUCUGCAUUAUGCUUUUACUUCUUCUCAAGCAUUUAUAUUUUCAUGAAAAUGUAUACAUGUCUGUUA